rnacentral:lncRNA from 1 species
CCCCCGACAUAUUUUCCGUAUGCAAAGUGACCUCAGUGUGACCCAUCUCGUAAAAAUCCGGUGAUCGCAAUACGCAUGGAUGUCCUUAAAAUAAACUAUUAUCUGAAUUUACAUGUUAAACACGUGCUCAAUUUCCAUGCUUUUUUGUUGACUUUUUGUUAAUUGUUGACAAACAGGUGGCAAUCGUUAAACUUCGGCUUCAAAACACGAACUUUAAUUACCUGCCAUAUUUUCACAACAAGACUGACCGAUUGAAAAAAAAAU